rnacentral:rRNA from 1 species
GUGGGGAAUCUUGCGCAAUGGGCGAAAGCCUGACGCAGCCAUGCCGCGUGAAUGAUGAAGGUCUUAGGAUUGUAAAAUUCUUUCACCGGGGACGAUAAUGACGGUACCCGGAGAAGAAGCUCCGGCUAACUUCGUGCCAGCAGUCGCGGUAAUACGAAGGGGGCUAGCGUUGCUCGGAAUUACUGGGCGUAAAGGGCGCGUAGGCGGACAGCUUAGUCAGAGGUGAAAGCCCAGGGCUCAACCUUGGAAUUGCCUUUGAUACUGGCUGUCUUGAGUUUGGGAGAGGUGAGUGGAACUCCGAGUGUAGAGGUGAAAUUCGUAGAUAUUCGGAAGAACACCAGUGGCGAAGGCGACUCACUGGCCCAAUACUGACGCUGAGGCGCGAAAGCGUGGGGAGCAAACAGGAUUAGAUACCCUAGUAGUCC